rnacentral:rRNA from 1 species
UGGGGAAUAUUGGACAAUGGGCGGAAGCCUGAUCCAGCCAUGCCGCGUGUGUGAAGAAGGCCUUCGGGUUGUAAAGCACUUUUGUACGGGAAGAAAAGUUCUGGGUUAAUACCCUGGAACGCUGACGGUACCGUAAGAAUAAGCACCGGCUAACUUCGUGCCAGCAGCCGCGGUAAUACGAAGGGUGCAAGCGUUACUCGGAAUUACUGGGCGUAAAGCGUGCGUAGGCGGUUUGUUAAGUCUGUCGUGAAAGCCCCGGGCUCAACCUGGGAAUGGCGAUGGAAACUGGCAAGCUAGAGUACGGUAGAGGAUGGUGGAAUUCCCGGUGUAGCGGUGAAAUGCGUAGAGAUCGGGAGGAACAUCAGUGGCGAAGGCGGCCAUCUGGACCAGUACUGACGCUGAGGCACGAAAGCGUGGGGAGCAAACA